CCAGCCUUGGCACUGCCCUCCGGCUCUCCAGGGGAAAAGCUGCAGUUCUGCUCUUGCAACACAAGGAGCAGACUGGAGAAUUUAGAUCUGCGUCACAGAGCUCAGAGAGAGAGAGGAGAGAGAGAGCGCUCCGUCGAUAGGUCUGCUAGCAACAGCCGUGCUGCAGCAGAGAGAGAGAGAGAAAUCAAGAAACAAGUCAUAGCAACACCGGGCACCAGGUUCUGCCAGCUCACUUGCCAAGCGUUCAGAAAUCUGUCGGGGGCUGGAGGCCUCUGGUUAGCCCGGGCUAAGGAGAUGACACGCAAGUGUCAGCUGCUCAAGCCUGACCGGGGUAGAGGAGAGAGGAGCAAGCUGUCCCUGGCGUCCCACCUGACCUCCCAGCCUUUGCCCCCAUUUCCUUCUAUUGGACAGACAGACUGGUUUUCCAGGUUGUUUGGGUGUCAGCGUCUGUCUGUCCGUCCAUGCGAUACUUAGGUGGAAGGUAGGGAGUGGGGAGGAGAGGUGCUGGGAGGAAGGUGAAAGGCACAGCUUUCCAGGGGUUGCCUUAUUGAAAUGUUCAGCCCUGGGCACCUGGGGCUGGUGGGGAGCAGGUGGGCAGGAUGGGGCGUGGGUUGGGAGAAGUGGGGUAAAGCUGGUAGGUUUGUCACUGCGUAGUUGGGAAAAGUGGGGAAUGGUGACGCAGUCACUGUUGCAUCUCGUUAGGAGCUCCAGGGGGACAGGUAGUGAGGCUCCCGGCAUCUGUAGGGCCAGCUGAGAGGGGUUAAGGAUGAGCUGAGAAGGGAAGCUAGCAUUUAGAGAUUAAAUGUCAUCCUUUUGGCGUUGGAAAGUUGUUUACCUUGUGCUCUCUGUGUCUCCAUGUUGGCACCUUUCCAGUUCACAUGUGAUGGCCUUCCUUGUACUGCUGCAUCAUUAACUAAGUGACUGAGCUGGCCUUCCAUUGGCCAGGGGAGGGCUCUCACUCCAGACAUUUCUUCUGAUUGGUGGGCGGGCCAAUGGCAGGUGAAAACCUUUUUUUGAUUGGUUGAGGGCAGGGUAUCAAAUCUGAAUUUGCAUUUCACUUGCUUAAAGGGGAGGGGGGGAAAGCCCAGCAGCUUUCUAAAAUCUGUUUAGGGGUGUGCGUAUGCUCCUGUGCCAGUGCCUGUUUCUGACUGACCAGUUGAAGCCUCUUGCUCUGCCUUUCUUAUUUCGUGGACUCUAAGGAAGAGGAGCUCAGGGUUCUCCAAACUUUUUUUUGAAGGAGGAAGGGUUGGAGAGAUGGGUGCGCAGAGAGUCGACCAAACUGGAAGGAGGUAUCUGUCCUUUCGUUUGGUGUUGGAAGAGGGAAUUUUCAGUCUGCCACACCUCAGUGUUGCGGCAAAAUAAUUCUUGGCUCCCCUGGAAACGCACGGGCAAGGUAGGACAGAGCUUCUGCUGCUGACACUGCCACCACCAUGGGCUUCCUGCUGCCUCUGGGCUACUCCCCGGGGACCAGAGAUUUGCAUUGACGGGGCUGUCCAGAGCUGAGCCUAGUGUGGGAAGGACCUGCCUUCUGGAAGCUGCUGCUCCCUGGUGCCGGGAAAGGUACCAUGUCGGGCGAUUUCUCAGAACUUGUUUCAUGUAUCAUUUUCCGCAGCGCUGUGAGGGAGCGUCCCAUGUCUGCUGCAAUUGGUGGAUUAACAACCCUCAGUUGUCCUGGUCCCCUUCUUCCUAGAGGAGGAUGUGGAGGUGGGAUGGUUGUAGCACCUUCAGAGCAGAAGGAGCUCCAGGACCCAGAAUCAGUGGACCUCAUACAAGGCAAGAAGCAGAGCCCUUGCACUUGGACUGCCCUAGGUUUGCAUCUUGACCCUGCCUUGUCUUUAUGGGUGGUUCUUCUAGGGCUUUGUGAUGUCAGUCAGUGACAGGGAGCCACCAUAAUCUACUACACAGAAUUGCCUAAUAUAUUGCCAAGCAGAUAGGAUCCCCACAGAAAGUGAUGCACGUCCCUUUCCCCUGCCCCACUGUCUUAUCGGGGCCUUUAGAAGGGACCAUAGCAGGUGGCUGGAGAAGGAAUGGGGGGAAGGGAGCUUGAGUGCCUUCAGGGGUAUUGGAAGCAGAGGCAGAGGAGGAGGUAACCACGCAGUCCACACCUGAAACCCACGAGGGGGUGCCUUCUCCCACCUGCAUAAAGACCCCUUUAACGUCUGCAUCGGGGCAGCGCUGGGGGAGCGGAGCCGUGAGGACAGGGUGGGCAGUGGCAGAGUGAGGGUUAACCAGUGGUCCUACCAGGGAGCCUCGUGAUGCCAGGUUAGUUUCCCUUCUUUCUGAUGGCAGCGGUGGCUGCCUGCUUCCUGAUGCCGUUGCAUCCCGUGGGAGGGGAGAUGGGCACCUUGGAACCCCUCGUCACCAAUUCUGGGGCUGCAGAACAGAGAGUGACGACAGCCCAUGAGUCGUCAGCCGACGGCAGUGGGGACCCUGGUGACGACUGCUUUGUUGUUUUUUUCCUCUUUGGAUGAUGACUCAGUAUGUCGGGAGCUGGGAGAUGGAGCGCUCAGCCGAGUGGCCAGGGCGUUCUGUCAACAUGAAAGCAGCAAGAACAGCUUGUCAGGGCUUGGAGCCGACCCGGGGGCUGGGGUCAUUUUCAGGAAGGGCUUGGCAGAGAAGACCACUUCUGGGCAUCGGGUUGGGGGUGACACCGGGUAUCCCAGCAGGGCUCUGUGGACUCUUAAAUUUUAGAAACCGAACAGAAAAUGCAGCUGCUUGUGUUAUUAUUAUUAUGCGCUUGGCAAACAGAGCCACUUUUCAACCUCCUCUCACUCUUCCGCAACAAGAGGCAUCUUCUCAGGGCCAGAAAACCCUUUGGGAUUUCUCACUGUGGCCUGGAUAGAGGGUAAGUCCCAUCUUGGGUAUGGUGGGCCUCACAGUCCCUAGUGAGCCCUGAUCUUCAGGGGCCCCAGGAGUAAGUGCCCAUCAUGGAGAUGUGGCAUCUUAAGUGUCCUCUGCUGGCGUCCCAUGAAGAUGGCGGGUCCGCAUCACCAGCCUUGAGCUGAAGACUAGCUCUUGGGCAGUCUGCGUUAGCCUCCCCUUUCUUUAUUGUCCCAAAUCAGACUUCUCCCCUCCCCUUGCAUCUUCCUCAGUUCAUUCUUAGGAGAAAGAAACAGUGGGCCUCGAGUCCUUGACCUUUGUGCGUGUGUAUGUGCGUCAUCAUGGCGGCUCAGGGUUCUAGGCUUUUCUCGAAUCUGCAGCAUUGCGCCAAGCGCACGUCAAAUGCGCGUGACGUUCCCCCCUUUGCCCCGCCCGCCCAGCCCCGCCCAACCGUGCCCAACCAUGCCCAGCAGUGCCUUCUCGGGAGCAAGAGAGACCUGGACCUCCAUUGCCACCGAAUCACAGGCAAGCCAUUGUCCUCAGCAUCUGGCUUCCCUUCUCUCCUGUUCUGUCUCCCUCGGCCAUGGCUGGGGACAGAGAAGCCAACAACUUGUGGGUGGGGAUUGAGGGACGGCACAGUCUGGGACCACCCAGCCUACACAUCCCUUGUGCCAUUUUUCAGCCGCAUGCUUUCCUUAGAUGAUGCUUAGCACUGACGUUUGUCACUGAGCACCUCUUCCUCUCCCCCAAGGACCUCCGGACAUGACUCAUUUGGGAUCUUUUCAGGGAGUGGCUUUGGGGCCUUGGGAGCCAGAGGGAGCAGGGAGACCUGGCUGAGGUCACUGUGGAGAGGUUCGCAGGGCAAAGGACAGGAGCCAGCUGUCCCUGCCCAGAGUGCAAAGGCAGCCCCAGCCCCUUUGUGUCAUGUCUUUUGCGCCUGAAUAGAGAGCAACUUGACCUAAAAAAAAUUGUAUGUAUGUGGUUGUUAGAUCCUUUGUGUCUUUGUCCAGAAGCCGUGCAUAUGAUGAGAGCCCAGAUUCUGUAGUUCAGAGAGCUCUGUUGUCUCUCAGAUUUGUUUUCCAAAAGAGACGGUAGGCCCUCCUUGAUGAGACCCAGUGCCCAAUGGGACUGGCCUUUUUUCAGGACAAGGGGCCCAACCUUGUCUCGUUUCUGCCGUUGACGGGUGGGCAGCCGCUGAGGGUUAGGGUCCCAGGGCCACAUAUCAGCCCCAAACGGGACCCCGAUUGGGGCCCGUGCAAAACAUCACUCGUUUGGUGGGCCCUGAGAGCUGAGCCUACUGUCUCCUUUUCA